AAGAGGAGGCCGGCAUAGCGCUUCUUGCUGAUGAGCAGGUAUGGGAAGUAGACCUGGAAAGGACCCACGGGUGGUGACCCUGCGCACUUUCCUUUGCCCCAAAUCCCGAGACCCAUCAGAAACACAACAGGCAAGGAAGGGCCCUGGACCCUGGUGAUACGAAUCCUCAGAAGGCCCAACGCCCUCCAGCACCCCAGAAACCCACUCGGCACAAUGCCACAGGCCUAGAGCUGACCCUAAAUUAUAAAGCCCAGACAGGUAACACUGUAAAGUCUUAGAGCCAUGGGAGGAAACAGCAACAAGCGAGUCCUGAGCUGAGAUGGCCCUGGAGGCCUCAGCUACAACCCAGAAUGCUGCGAGACUCCCAGCCCGGGGACCCGCACACUACUGCACUGUCAUAAGAGGCCAUCACCAAUGGGUAAGACCCCCGAUGUCUCCACUGAGCUGAGGACAGGGGGUACCCGCACCUUCUCAAACUCCAGCCGGAUGGGUGACGGGAAGUGGCUGGAGACCCAGUCUGCGGCCUCCCGCCCCAGAGACAUUGCCUCAGCCACAGAGGAGACACCAAAGCGGCACAUCACGGAGUCAGUGUCACCGUAGACCACCUGCCAGGGAACAUGCGUGAGGAACGCCUCUUCUCAACCCAGGAGCUGCCAUGCCAUUUUCCAGGGUGUACUUGGACUCCACAAGCUGCUUGGUUUUCUCAAUCAUCUGCCGCCCGAACCCAGUGACACUCUGUGAGGGGUAAAACCAGGGAGGCUGAGAACAGAGGCCGGACACGACAGGUCCAGCUCGGGGAGGGCACACCCCUGCCACUUGCCAGCAUCAAGGACCGCACGCAGUCAGCCCAUCAAACGGGACUGCUGCCCCCAAGUGUGCACAUUCUCAGAGGACAAAGAGCCACUCCCUCCCGGGAAUGCAGCCAGUGUCUCAUGCAGAAUAGGGUGUAGGCUACCCAGCUUUGAACUCCCUGAGGCCUAGACAGGCCUCUCAUCCCGGCCUCACAGCCUUACAAACGGAUGGAAGUCUAGGCUGACAUCAUCACGCCCUGCUGUCUGUGCCAUAUUACAGGUGGGGAUGAGGCUGGGUACGGAGGUGUGACAAGCAGAACGCCCUCUGCCUGCCUGAGUGUCAUCAGGUCACGGGACAUCUGGGGACCCACACCUGACCUGUCUUUUGUGCACCUGCUCUGCUCCUCUUUUUAAGUUUUAUUCUGGAAUGACUCAGUAGCCUGUUAUCCUGCCAGACAGGCCCGAGAGGAAGAGACAGGGUCCCAACACCCACCCCAUCUCUAUGGGACGCUAGGAGUGAGGAGGGCAGGCGGGCAGGCAGGCAGGAGGUGACUGCGGCAGAGGCGGGUCUGGCUGGGGGCCCAGCUCCUGGGACACACCCUGUGAGUGCCUGGGCAUCCUUCCAGGCAAUCAGCUUCCCUGAGCCCUUGAGUCACACCAGAGAUCUCUGCUCGAAAGGUGAGGUUACGGGGACUCUGGGAUUCUGGGAGCUGGGGUCAACAGCAGCUCCUGUCAGGUACUCGGCCUCUGUACCCUGUAACCCAUCCUGUGAAAAUCCUGCCGCCUUGCUCUGGGCAUUGCCUAGCUAAAUGCUCCUGACAUGUGACUCCUCACUGCUGAGAUGGCCAAGUACCAGGUCUGUGACCAGACUGGGGAACAGCACCUCAGGUUACCUCACAAUAGGACCAGCCCCAGGCCACUCACGCUGCACCUCAGGCCUCACGUUCUCUCACUGCCAGUCUGUUUCUGUCUGAACCCAGAGAUGCCAAGAUGGUGAGGGAGGUGGGGGCAGUUCUUUCUCAUUCCUGUUCCAGCUGGUACUGACCAAGGUCCUCACUAGGGUCCUCACACUUGGGACAGAGGACCCGGUGCUUGAGACAGAGGCCAACAUCAAGUGACCACCAAAUCCAGCCUGGCCAUGCCCUCCCCCCAGCCCUCCACAGGACGUGGAAGAGGUGAACAGAGGGGCAGCUGCUGGGGGAGGGGCGUCCAGACCCAGCAUCCUGAGCACACCCCUCACCUGGGCCACCGGCAGAGCCUUGCAAGCUAUAGUACCACAAACAUUACCUGACCAACGUCCCCGUCCUACUACACUGGUCUCGAGUAAUCCCGGCUGGCCUUGAACACCUCCUGAGCGCUGGGAUGACAAGUGCCCCACUGCGGCCUGCAGGGUCCUUACCCUUUGAGGGGCUCAAUGACCGUGGCUCCCGUGUAGUCCUCACCUCCCUCGGUCUUCACCACAGGCAUCAGCAGGCCCUGGCGCAUGGCCUGGAGAAAGGGUGGCCACCAUAAGGCGCUCGAGAAGUCGAAGUGGCAGAAAGGCAUCCUUCAGGCAGUACACGGCCAGGCGGCGGCGCGUCUGUUCAUUCCCAUUCUGGGGACGGGCACGUGGGGAAGUGGAAGCUCACAGCAUUGAGCGUGUAGGAGCGGAGCUUGUAUUCCCGCAGCAGCACCUGGGCGGAGCGGGGUGGGGCGGGGCC